rnacentral:rRNA from 1 species
UUUUGGACAAUGGGGGCAACCCUGAUCCAGCCAUGCCGCGUGAGUGAAGAAGGCCUUCGGGUUGUAAAGCUCUUUCGGACGGAACGAAAUGGGCGGGACUAAUACUCCUGUCUGAUGACGGUACCGUAAGAAGAAGCACCGGCUAACUACGUGCCAGCAGCCGCGGUAAUACGUAGGGUGCGAGCGUUAAUCGGAAUUACUGGGCGUAAAGCGUGCGCAGGCGGUUUCGUAAGCUGGAGGUAAAUCCCCGGGCUUAACCUGGGAAUGGCCUUCAGACUGCAGGCAAGUGCGGCAAGGGAGGUGAAUUCCACGUGAGCAGUAAAUGCGAAGUGUGAGAACACCAUGGCAAGGAGCCUCCUGGCAGACUGCGUAUGCAA